ACAGAGUUUAGCCUAGACCUUGCUGGAACUAUUGAAAGCCUGUCUAUCAUUUAGAAAUAGUGACCUUAAGUUGCAGCGUCUGAGUUCCUUUUCUAUUUUUUUACAAGCGUACAUUAUUAUCAUUGGUUUCUGCUGCAAACUUACUCUAUUUGUCUUGUUGUAAAAAAAAAAAAAGUCUCCGAGAACGGAGCACGGAACAGUUCAGUUGCGCAUGAUGAAGCUUUGCAAGAGAAUCUGUCAUCUAUUGUUGUGGACGAUCACCCUUACAUUACACCCAUGUUUUUGGGCGCAAAAAGUUGAAGUCUUGUCUCAAGUGACUGGAUAUGUUGGCCAUGAUGUCACCCUGCCAUGCAGUUUUAUUCAAGGGAUAAAUGAUUACAAUGUUACUCAGAGUCAGUGGGACUUCCUGUCACCAGAUGGAAAUAAAACCAAGAUCAUGGUCUUUAACAAACAAUAUGGAAAAGGUGUUUAUGAGUCUCAUUUGAAGGGGAGAGUGGACAUGGAUGAUCAAUCGUUACAAAUUAAGAAUGUGGAAUUGUCAGAUGCAGGGUCUUACAUCUGCACCAUUAACACUUUUCCAUCUGGAAGAUUUCAUGAUGCAACGGAACUUCAUGUUCAAGAACUGAAGCUAGUGUCGUUUUGGUUCAUUCAUGGCACGGCUUUUGGUUUCUUGCUGCUGUUGAUGACCCUGCCAGUCGCCACAUACUUCUUCCGCAUCAGGCGCUUAUGUGACUGUACAAGCAGGAGCCGUGUCCACAAAUAGGUUAUUUCAUGUGGUCACCACUACAAUAUCUCAAUUUUGUUUAUUAUUAUCUACAAGUAACUUCACGCUUUGUUCUUUUCUAAUCUUGUUAAAGUGCCCAAGUCUUUUCAUGUUCAUAAUCCCAUACAUUUAAAUGUAUGUAUGUAAAAUCAAGUAUUUUACAUGUAUAAAUGUUAUUUUUAUUUAUGUUUUUAAAGCAUAUAAUGAAGCCUUUAAAGCAGUUCAUGUGUUCAACACAAAAAUUAUUUCUUAGUAUGACACUGAUGGUUUGUUGCAAAAAAAAGAUUUAUUUUCACUUUGAAAAGAAAAUUCAUAUUUAGAGAUAUUUAGAGAUUUAAAACAUUCUAUGAAAUAAAUAAUGAAUUUGAGUUUGAAUGAAUUUUCUGUCAUCUUAAUGCUUUAUUCAGUAGUUGUUCACACUGGUAAAACAAAUGUGCUGGUCCAAAAAAGGAGAAAAAUGUUCAGAGAUGGAGCCAAGAGAAGACACUUUAACGUGCUGGUCUGUGCCAAAAUCAAGUGACUCAGGAAACUUAAAUGAGAAAAAGAUUCUGUCUCUUGUUUGUUUCAUUUGUUGGUACUAAAGUGGACAAACAUUGAUGUUACUGUGAUCUCAGUUUUUGAUUUAUUUAACAGGAUUUUGUUGAGUUUUUUUUUGUUUGCUCACUAUGCUGAGUGAAGCAUUGCUCAAAGUAAAAGUCAGGGUGAAUUUUUUUAAGGUAUUUCUGGCUUUCAGAUUCUCUAUUUACAAUAAGAACAGAUUUGUAAAAUGGUGUUGUACACCUGCAUCACGAAGUUAAAGUGAAGUGGUAAAGUUGACUUUUUCAGAUUCUGUGGGUGAAGUGAGGAAGUAAACAUUAGCGCCAUCCUGUGGCCUCACUCUGUAGACUGGGGCGGGGUCUGUGAGCAUCUAUUUUGUGACUGUUUUUGUUAAAGAAAUAGUUUUAGAAACAUGUAAAAUAUAGUUAUUGUAUUUGUUUAUUUUUUUUCAAAAAUUGUAGCUUGACUAAAAUACAGAGGUGAUCCGAUUUUUUCGUAUUUUAUUAUUAGAGUCACAAAACCAAAGAAGAAUAUGAGAUUUCCGCUCUGGGUGACAAUAUGUUAAUCUGGGAUUAAUGCAACCACUAAACUUUAAAAUAACAUAA